rnacentral:rRNA from 1 species
GAGGAAUAUUGGUCAAUGGGCGAGAGCCUGAACCAGCCAAGUCUCGUGAAGGAAGACGGCCCUACGGGUUAUAAACAUCUUUUAUACGGGAAUAAAGUGCCCCACGCGUGGGGUUUUGCAAGUACCGUACGAAUAAGGAUCGGCUAACUCCGUGCCAGCAGCCGCGGUAAUACGGAGGAUCCGAGCGUUAUCCGGAUUUAUUGGGUUUAAAGGGUGCUCAGGCGGGGGAUUAAGUCGGCGGUGAAAUUUUGCAGCUCAACUGUAAAAGUGCCUUCGAAGCUGGUGUCCUGGAGUGCGGAUAAGGUAGGCGGAAUUUGUGGUGUAGCGGUGAAAUGCAUAGAUAUCACGAGGAACUCCGAUGGCGCAGGCAGCUUACCAAGCCGUAACUGACGCUCAAGCACGAAGGCGUGGGGAUCAAACA